CUGAAGUGGGUCGUGGCCCAGGUCGGAAGGUGAAGUCCUGCCCCGCAGGGUUGCAUUACAGACCCGGGUUUGUUUCCUGGCCCUGCCUGGGAGGCAGUUUUCUCCCCGCCACCGCGAAGCACAUCCGGCGACGUGGAACGACCCACAGGCUGCGGCAGGAGCUCACCGGGUCCGUGGCACAGAGGGAAUUGCCGAAGUUUCCGGGUGAAACCCCGCAACAGGACUGAGAGUGAAGAGAGGAGACAGCCGGCAUAAAGAAGGAAUGGCGACACAGGAGUUGAUUGCCAGACAGAGGAGGGGUAAAAGGCAGUAAUCAGUACAUCACAUCAUUCUACAUACGAGCAUCCAAACAAGCUCCUUUACAGCAUGGCACAGAAACUGCACUGCAGACAGCAGGAAGGGUCUACAACGAGCAGUCAAAACUGCUCAAUGAAUUACUGGCACCAGCCUAUCUACCAUCAAGGACGUAUAAAUGAAAGGUGCAGGAAAAGAGCCAGUAACGUGAUUGCCAUCAAUCUGGGCCAUUCAGGUCAAGUUCUCCUCUCUGCUGCCACCAGGAAGAAGGUACAGGAGCCUCAGGACCUGCACUACCAGGUUCAAGUACAGCUAUUACCUUUCAGCUAUCAUUCUAAGCCUGCACUGCUCCCUGUUACUAUUGAUGGUGAGGACGUAGAUGUGGUGAGGACCCACAAGUACCUGGAUGACAGACUUGAGUGGAACACCAACACAGAGGCUGUGUACAAGAAAGGUCAGAGUCUCUUCUACUUCCUGAGGAGACUGAGGUCCUUUGGAGUAUACAGGCCUCUCCUUCACAUGUUCUACCAGUCUGUUAUCGCCAGUACAAGCUUCUAUGCGGUGGUGUGCUGGGGCAAUGGCAUCAACUCGGGUGGUGCCAACAGAAAGGCUGGCUCUGUUAUAGGAAUCAAACUGGACACACUGGAGGCUGUGGUAGAACAAAGGACCCUGUGGAAAAUCCUGGCAAUUCUGGACAGUGUUUCUCACCCUCUGCAUGACACCUCAGCUGAACAGAGGAGCACUUUCAGUAAUAGACUAAGGCACUGCUUCAAAGAGCGCGAUGUGAGGUCAUUCUUACCCUCGGCCAUUAGGCUCUAUAAUGAGUCAACCUAUAGCCAGGGAAGUGAUGACCACUUCCUGUUAGACUGUUUGAGGUAACUUACUUUUUAUUCUUUCUACUUCUCUGCUAAUAUUCAUAUCCAUACACAUGUAAUGCUACGGUGACACUGUAAUUUCCUUUGGGAUCAGAAACAUAUCUAUCCAUCUCUAUCAGGCUCUUGAACCAAAGGGGGUAACUUCACACAACUUCAUUCAUCCCAUCACUAUUCCCAUAACCUAAAGACUCACUUUUAAAGACUCUUUAUCCCAUGUUCUUGAUAUUUAUUGCUUGUUUAUUUAAUAUUAUUAUUUAUUUUUCUUAUCUCAAGCUGGUAAAACCUGAGGCUCUGGCAUAACUUAAGCAAACUCAUUUGUUCAUUCCCAGGAACCUUUGGACUACUCUAGUGGUGUUUAGUAUUGUGGCUUCCUGAAGAUUUACAUCGAUAUUGCUAUGUAGCCCUAAUUAUUUAAUACUGGCAGGAUACUUGGAAGUGUGGAGGAGCAGAGGGAUCUGGGGGUACAUGUCCACAGAUCCCUGAAAGUUGCCUCACAGCUAGAUAGGGUAGUUAAGAAAGCUUAUGGAGUGUUAGCUUUCAUAAGUUGAGGGAUAGAGUUUAAGAGUUGUGAUGUAAUGAUGCAGCUCUAUAAAACUCUAGUUAGGCCACACUUGGAGUACUGUGUCCAGUUCUGGUCACCUCACUAUAGGAAGAUUGUGGAAGCGUUGGAAAGGGUACAGAGGAGAUUUACCAGGAUGCUGCCUGGUUUAGAGAGUAUGGAUUAUGAUCAGAGAUUAAGGGAGCUAGGGCUUUACUCUUUGGAGAGAAGAAGGAUGAGAGGAGACAUGAUAGAGGUGUACCAGAUAUUAAGAGGAAUAGAUAAAGUGGACAGCCAGGGCCUCUUCCCCAGGGCACCACUGCUCAGUACAAGAGGACAUGGCUUUAAGGUAAGGGGUGGAAAGUUUAAGGGGGAUAUUAGAGGAAGGUUUUAUACUCAGAGAAUGGUUGGUGUGUGGAAUGCACUGCCUGAGUCAGUGGUGGAGGCAGAUACACUAGUGAUAUUUAAGAGACUUCUAGACAGGUAUAUGGAGAAAUUUAAGGUGGGGGUUAUAUGGGGGUGCAGGGUUUAAGGGUCGGCACAACAUUGUGGGCCAAAGGGCCUGUACUGUGCUGUGUUGUUCUAUGUUCUAUUGUGGAGUGCCUUUAGGAUGACAGCAAUUGUAGAUGUUACUAUCGGGACAAUGGAUACCUUGUUCAUGUUCCAAAGUCUUUCAAUUUCCUCUUUUAAUUCAGCAUAUUUCUGGUGUUUUUCAGUUAUUGUAUUAUUAUUAUUUUUUUUUCCAUAGUUCAUUGUUUUUUGCACAUUGGUUGUUUGCUUGAGGCACGUCUUUCACUGAUUCUAUUUUGUUUCCUGUUUUUAUUAUGAAUGCCUGCAAGAAAAUGAAUCUCAGGAUUGUAUCUGGUGACCUAUAUGUAUGUACUUUAACAAUGAACUUAUUUUGGACUUUGAUGAACCUGCUCGUGGGCUGUUGUUUAUUUUAUUUUACCGAUACAGAGCCACCGAAGCACCUGUGGAAAUCUCCACGCGUUCCCCGAGGAGUGCGCACAAUGAGUCCCUACAGAAUGGUGCUGGAAUUGAACUCCAAAAUCCAGAAUACCUCAAGCUGUAAUAGCAUCGCACUAGCUGCUACAUAACCAUGGCACCCACUCCCACUCUCACCAGGGACAAGGCUACUUGGUGCUAUAGGGAUCUACCCCUUUGUUGCAAUGGUCAGAGAGACACAGAGACUAUCUCUAUUAACCAACAAGUAACCUUUAUUGUCUCAACUAAAAGGCACGUGGCUUCACAAACUAACUCCCUGUGUGCACACCCACUAGAAUUUCCUGACCCUUCAUGAACAGUCAAUAAAGAGAAAAGG